GACGAACGCUGGCGGCGUGCUUAAUACAUGCAAGUCGACUGAACUUAAGGUAGCAAUAUUUUAAGGGAGGUGGCGCACGGGUGAGUAACACGUAGGUAAUCUGCCUUUAGGACUGACAUAACUCCGCGAAAGCGGAGCUAAUUUCAGAUGAUGCAGCGGCUCGACAUCGAGACAGUUGUUAAACCUUCGGGGCCUAAAGAUGAGCCUGCGUCUGAUUAGGUAGUUGGCGGAGUAAUAGCCCACCAAGCCAUCGAUCAGUAGCUGGUCUGAGAGGAUGAUCAGCCACACUGGAACUGAGACACGGUCCAGACUCCUACGGGAGGCAGCAGUAAGGAAUAUUGCUCAAUGGCCGAAAGGCUGAAGCAGCAACGCCGCGUGGAGGAUGAAAUACUUUUGUAUGUAAACUCCUGUAAGAAGGGAAAAUAAACAGAUUUUCUGUGUUGAUUGUACCUUCAGAG
rnacentral:rRNA from 1 species